CCUUCCCAGGUCUACGCUUUCGCGUGUGACACUAUUUAGCUUUUGGGUGCCUCUGCUCCCUCUUCAGGGAAAUGGGGGGACAGGUACUGACUCCCUCGGGGUAACGCUUUGAGACCUAGUGAUGAAGUGCAGUUAUAUCUUAUUUUCUCUUUACUAGAAUAUGAGCAAAAGUCUUGAUCUAAUGCAAACCUUGGGGACGAGAGCCAGUGAAGCCACGCAGACAGCGCGGGCUCCCCGAACUCCCGUGACUCACCUGCCUUGCAGUACUUCGUUAAGCCAAGGGGGUCGGAUUGGGAGCCAGAGAGCUCUUCUCCUGCAUAUGUGAAGCCUCCCCGGGGACAGGGGAGAGACAGCAAGGCACGGACUUCCUUAGCUGAGAACCUGGAUCAUUUCCUCAGCUUUUCUGCCAAGCUAGUGCUAGUGGCAUCUGAUUUGUUUGCUAUUCUUCAGCCUCCUUUUCCGUGAAAUGGGACAAUUAUUAUUUAUUUUAUGAAGGAUGUGGAAAGUUUGAGAAUUUUUCUUUUUUUGACAAAUCCCAAAUCAAACGCGUCUUGACGAUUUUUACGUGUUCGGUUUGGAGGAGGGAUAAAAGACACCAGCAUCAAGGGAAGUGCAAAACACUAGAUCUUGGGGAGGAAUUUUUUUCAGCUAACUUUCUGCCUUUGGCAACCCAGCCAAUGAAAGGAAUAGGAGGGCAAAACAAAAAAACUCCCAAUCCCACGGCUUGACCGUUCAUGGCAAAGGUGCUUUAUUUAUUUCUCACAGCUUUCUAAUGGCAAUAUCUUAAUGCCAGCAUCUUGAGGCCUUUCGAAAGGGAAGACCCCCACUGAGGGCUCCUGUUAAUGCCCAGGACCGUGGGAAACGUCCUGGCAGUGCCCGUGAGCGAGAGAGGCGCCGGCAGGCGCGGUGGGGCGAGCAGGCAUCGGUGCGCGAGCGGCAUGUCCACACGCGGGUGAACGCCGGCCUUGCUGUUGUGAGCAGAGGGUCAGGGACCCACUAGUGUUGUUUUUCUGCUCCAGGACUCGUGUUUCAGCUUUUUAUCUAUAUGUUUGUUUUCGCAAAGCUCGCCCGCAGACUCUGCUGGGCUUUGGCAACCAAAAUGUAAGCAAAACAUCGAGCUCUCCAGCUGCUUUAAGGCAGAAUAAAUGGCUGUGAAGGCAGAGGCUUUUAUUUUUCAGAGAAGUUCCCCCCUUCCCCACCAAACUCCUUGACACUGCGGUGCCGGGAAGGUGACGGGGGUGUAAUUACCACAGUUGCAUAAAACACUCCUAGUCUUGCUCAUUACCGUGUGGAUAGCGGAGGUGACAUUUUCCCCCCAGCCUAUUUCUGUGCAUAAGGAUGGCCUAGCGUGGAUGUCAUCUCUUUCCUGAUGUAUGGAGUGGAGACUAAUAAAAGCCAUUAAUUUUU